AACGCGAAAGGCCCCUUCGGGGGCCGAGUAGAGUGGCGCACGGGUGAGUAACACGUAGGUAAUCUACCUCUGGGUGGGGAAUAACGACCGGAAACGGUCGCUAAUACCGCAUAAUGCAGCGGCACCACAUGGUGACAGUUGUUAAAGCGGGGGAUCGUAAGACCUCGCGCCUAGAGAUGAGCCUGCGGCGGAUUAGCUAGUUGGCAGGGUAACGGCCUACCAAGGCAACGAUCCGUAGCCGGCCUGAGAGGGCGGACGGCCACACUGGCACUGACAUACGGGCCAGACUCCUACGGGAGGCAGCAGUCGGGAAUUUUGGGCAAUGGGCGAAAGCCUGACCCAGCAACGCCGCGUGAAGGAUGAAGCUUUUCGGAGUGUAAACUUCAUAAGAAUGGGACGAAAUAAGGAGGGGUUAACACCCCCUUUGAUGACGGUACCAUUUGUAAGCUCCGGCUAACUCCGUGCCAGCAGCCGCGGUAAUACGGGGGGAGCAAGCGUUGUUCGGAUUUACUGGGCGUAAAGGGCGCGUAGGCGGCGCAACAAGUCACUUGUGAAAUCUCCGGGCUUAACCCGGAGCGGCCAAGUGAUACUGUCGUGCUAAAGUGCGGAAGGGGCUGCUGGAAUUCUCGGUGUAGCGGUGAAAUGCGUAGAUAUCGAGAGGAACACCUGCGGCGAAGGCGGGUAGCUGGGCCGACACUGACGCUGAGGCGCGAAAGCCAGGGGAGCGAACGGGAUUAGAU
rnacentral:rRNA from 1 species